rnacentral:misc_RNA from 1 species
GAUGAAGAACGUAGCGAAAUGCGAUAAGUAGUGUGAAUUGCAGAAUUCAGUGAAUCAUCGAAUCUUUGAACGCACAUUGCGCCCUUUGGUAUUCCGAAGGGCAUGCCUGUUCGAGCGUCAUUUCACCACUCAAGCCUGGCUUGGUAUUGGGCGCCGCGGUCGAUCCGCGCGCCUCAAAGUCUCCGGCUGAGCUGUCCGUCUCUAAGCGUUGUGAUUUCAUUAAUCGCUUCGGAGUGCGGGCGGCCGCGGCCGUUAAAUCUUUCACAAGGUUGACCUCGGAUCAGGUAGGGAUACCCGCUGAACUUAAGCAUAUCAAUAAGCGGAGGA